rnacentral:lncRNA from 1 species
AAUCAUGGUUUAAGAUACAUACCGUAAAAUACCCCUGAAGCACCCACCCCACAUUCACUAAAAAUUGGGUUAAUCUAGAUAUGGGCGCUCGUCCGGUCGAAACAGUAAAAACCAAGAUGGCGGCCGAC